UCUCGCGUCAGGAUAUGCCUAGGUGGGAUUAGCUAGUUGGUGAGGUAAUGGCUCACCAAGGCGACGAUCCCUAGCUGGUCUGAGAGGAUGAUCAGCCACACUGGAACUGAGACACGGUCCAGACUCCUACGGGAGGCAGCAGUGGGGAAUAUUGCACAAUGGGCGCAAGCCUGAUGCAGCCAUGCCGCGUGUGUGAAGAAGGCCUUCGGGUUGUAAAGCACUUUCAGUCGUGAGGAAGGUGGUGUAGUUAAUAGCUGCAUUACUUGACGUUAGCGACAGAAGAAGCACCGGCUAACUCCGUGCCAGCAGCCGCGGUAAUACGGAGGGUGCGAGCGUUAAUCGGAAUUACUGGGCGUAAAGCGCAUGCAGGUGGUUUGUUAAGUCAGAUGUGAAAGCCCGGGGCUCAACCUCGGAAUAGCAUUUGAAACUGGCAGACUAGAGUACUGUAGAGGGGGGUAGAAUUUCA
rnacentral:rRNA from 1 species